ACGGGUGAGUAACGCGUAGGAAUCUACCUUAUAGUGGGGGAUAACCUGGGGAAACCCAGGCUAAUACCGCAUGAUUCUUAAGAGAUAAAGCAGGGGACCUUCGGGCCUUGCGCUAUAAGAUGAGCCUGCGUCGGAUUAGCUAGUUGGUGGGGUAAAGGCCUACCAAGGCGACGAUCCGUAGCUGGUCUGAGAGGACGGCCAGCCACACUGGGACUGAGACACGGCCCAGACUCCUACGGGAGGCAGCAGUGGGGAAUAUUGGACAAUGGGCGCAAGCCUGAUCCAGCAAUGCCGCGUGUGUGAAGAAGGCCUUCGGGUUGUAAAGCACUUUCAGUAGGGAGGAAGGAUUUAGCUCUAAUACAGCUAAGUAUUGACGUUACCUACAGAAGAAGCACCGGCUAACUCUGUGCCAGCAGCCGCGGUAAUACAGAGGGUGCGAGCGUUAAUCGGAAUUACUGGGCGUAAAGCGUGCGUAGGUGGUUUGAUAAGUCAGAUGUGAAAGCCCCGGGCUUAACCUGGGAACUGCAUUUGAAACUAUUAGGCUAGAGUACGGUAGAGGGAAGUGGAAUUUCCGGUGUAGCG
rnacentral:rRNA from 1 species